GCUCACUAGUUAAUGUUGUUUUUUUUAUUAAUUUAUAUGCUUGCAAUUUCUUUCUACUGUUUAUUUUGAGCUGGCUUCUAACUUUUGAUGCCUUUUCAUGCAUUCUUGAUUCUCUUCAUACUUCACACAAGUUAAUGUACUGCCCUUUCUAGGGGAAGAAAGAGGGAAUAGUAAGAAAGAGAUUCCUGAAAAAUUCUGACCAUGGAAGAGGACAAAAUUUCAUCCUAGAAAAUGCCUGAACUUAUGCAAGUGUUGCAUAUGUUUUUCAUUUGUUAAGUUAUGGACUUGAGCUACUGGAACUCUAAUGUUAGUAAUUGGGAUUCCUGAUUCUAGAGAAGAAAAAAAGAUUCAUAUGUUUAGGAC